rnacentral:tmRNA from 1 species
AACGACGAAAACUACGCUUUAGCAGCUUAAUAACCUGCUUAGAGCCCUCUCUCCCUAGCCUCCGCUCUUAGGACGGGGAUCAAGAGAGGUCAAACCCAAAAGAGAUCGCGCGGAUGCCCUGCCUGGGGUUGAAGUGCUAAAACUAAUCAGGCUAGUUCGUUAGUGGCGUGUCUGUCCGCAGCUGGCGUGCGAAUGUAAAGACAAACUAAGCAUGUAGUACCGAGGAUGUAGGAAUUUCGGACGCGGGUUCAACUCCCGCCAGCUCCACCA